rnacentral:rRNA from 1 species
AUGAACGCUAGCUACAGGCUUAACACAUGCAAGACGAGGGGCAGCAUGGUCUUAGCUUGCUAAGGCCGAUGGCGACCGGCGCACGGGUGAGUAACACGUAUCCAACCUGCCGUCUACUCUUGGACAGCCUUCUGAAAGGAAGAUUAAUACAAGAUGGCAUCAUGAGUCCGCAUGUUCACAUGAUUAAAGGUAUUCCGGUAGACGAUGGGGAUGCGUUCCAUUAGAUAGUAGGCGGGGUAACGGCCCACCUAGUCUUCGAUGGAUAGGGGUUCUGAGAGGAAGGUCCCCCACAUUGGAACUGAGACACGGUCCAAACUCCUACGGGAGGCAGCAGUGAGGAAUAUUGGUCAAUGGGCGAGAGCCUGAACCAGCCAAGUAGCGUGAAGGAUGACUGCCCUAUGGGUUGUAAACUUCUUUUAUAAAGGAAUAAAGUCGGGUAUGGAUACCCGUUUGCAUGUACUUUAUGAAUAAGGAUCGGCUAACUCCGUGCCAGCAGCCGCGGUAAUACGGAGGAUCCGAGCGUUAUCCGGAUUUAUUGGGUUUAAAGGGAGCGUAGAUGGAUGUUUAAGUCAGUUGUGAAAGUUUGCGGCUCAACCGUAAAAUUGCAGUUGAUACUGGAUAUCUUGAGUGCAGUUGAGGCAGGCGGAAUUCGUGGUGUAGCGGUGAAAUGCUUAGAUAUCACGAAGAACUCCGAUUGCGAAGGCAGCCUGCUAAGCUGCAACUGACAUUGAGGCUCGAAAGUGUGGGUAUCAAACAGGAUUAGAUACCCUGGUAGUCCACACGGUAAACGAUGAAUACUCGCUGUUUGCGAUAUACAGCAAGCGGCCAAGCGAAAGCGUUAAGUAUUCCACCUGGGGAGUACGCCGGCAACGGUGAAACUCAAAGGAAUUGACGGGGGCCCGCACAAGCGGAGGAACAUGUGGUUUAAUUCGAUGAUACGCGAGGAACCUUACCCGGGCUUAAAUUGCAGAUGAAUUACGGUGAAAGCCGUAAGCCGCAAGGCAUCUGUGAAGGUGCUGCAUGGUUGUCGUCAGCUCGUGCCGUGAGGUGUCGGGUUAAGUCCCAUAACGAGCGCAACCCCUACCGUUAGUUGCCAUCAGGUGAAGCUGGGCACUCUGGCGGGACUGCCGGUGUAAGCCGAGAGGAAGGUGGGGAUGACGUCAAAUCAGCACGGCCCUUACGUCCGGGGCUACACACGUGUUACAAUGGGGGGUACAGAGGGCCGCUACCACGCGAGUGGAUGCCAAUCCCCAAAACCUCUCUCAGUUCGGACUGGAGUCUGCAACCCGACUCCACGAAGCUGGAUUCGCUAGUAAUCGCGCAUCAGCCACGGCGCGGUGAAUACGUUCCCGGGCCUUGUACACACCGCCCGUCAAGCCAUGGGAGCCGGGGGUACCUGAAGUGCGUAACCGCGAGGAGCGCCCUAGGGUAAAACUGGUGACUGGGGCU